rnacentral:rRNA from 1 species
GGACGUGAGCGGCGGAUGGGUGAGUAACACGUGGGCAACCUGCCUGUAAGACGGGGAUAACUUCGGGAAACCGGAGCUAAUACCGGAUAAUCCCUCGCACCGCAUGGUGCGAGGUUGAAAGAUGGUUUCGGCCAUCACUUACAGAUGGGCCCGCGGUGCAUUAGUUAGUUGGCGGGGUAAUGGCCCACCAAGACCGCGAUGCAUAGCCGACCUGAGAGGGUGAUCGGCCACAUUGGGACUGAGACACGGCCCAAACUCCUACGGGAGGCAGCAGUAGGGAAUCUUCCACAAUGGACGAAAGUCUGAUGGAGCAACGCCGCGUGAGCGAAGAAGGUUUUCGGAUCGUAAAGCUCUGUUGCCGGAGAAGAACGAGUGCCAGAGGAAAUGCUGGUGCUGUGACGGUAUCCGGCCAGAAAGCCACGGCUAACUACGUGCCAGCAGCCGCGGUAAUACGUAGGUGGCAAGCGUUGUCCGGAAUUAUUGGGCGUAAAGCGCGCGCAGGCGGCUUCUUAAGUCUGAUGUGAAAUCUUGCGGCUCAACCGCAAAAGGUCAUUGGAAACUGGGGAGCUUGAGUGCAGAAGAGGAGAGUAGAAUUCCACGUGUAGCGGUGAAAUGCGUAGAGAUGUGGAGGAAUACCAGUGGCGAAGGCGGCUCUCUGGUCUGUUACUGACGCUGAGGUGCGAAGCAUGGGGAGCAAACAGGAUUAGAUACCCUGGUAGUCCAUGCCGUAAACGAUGAAUGCUAGGUGUUAGGGGGUCCAACCCCUUAGUGCUGAAGUUAACACAUUAAGCAUUCCGCCUGGGGAGUACGACCGCAAGGUUGAAACUCAAAGGAAUUGACGGGGGCCCGCACAAGCAGUGGAGCAUGUGGUUUAAUUCGAAGCAACGCGAAGAACCUUACCAGGUCUUGACAUCCUCUGACAAGCCUAGAGAUAGGCCGUUCCCCUUCGGGGGACAGAGUGACAGGUGGUGCAUGGUUGUCGUCAGCUCGUGUCGUGAGAUGUUGGGUUAAGUCCCGCAACGAGCGCAACCCUUGAUCUUAGUUGCCAGCAUUAAGUUGGGCACUCUAAGGUGACUGCCGGUGACAAACCGGAGGAAGGUGGGGAUGACGUCAAAUCAUCAUGCCCCUUAUGAUCUGGGCUACACACGUGCUACAAUGGGCGGUACAAAGGGCAGCGAAACCGCAAGGUCAAGCCAAUCCCAUAAAGCCGCCCCCAGUUCGGAUUGCAGGCUGCAACUCGCCUGCAUGAAGCCGGAAUUGCUAGUAAUCGCGGAUCAGCAUGCCGCGGUGAAUCCGUUCCCGGGCCUUGUACACACCGCCCGUCACACCACGAGAGUUUGUAACACCCGAAGUCGGUGUGGGAACCUUUAUGGACCCAGCCGCCGAAGGUGGGACAAAUGAUUGGGGUGAAGUCGUAACAAGGUAGCCGUAUCGGAAGGU